GCUUGCUCGCUCUCAAACCUUGGUCUGAGUCACAGGGCUAAUCCGACGCCAGAGAAGAGUUGCACGAUGCCCCAGCCCUCCUGUUUUCAGAAAGAGAAAACAGGCAGACGCAGCAGUCUUGCCCCUGAGCCACCUGAGGAGGUGCUUUUCACGGGGUGCUCGCUUUGACAUGGGAACUGGCAGUCCGUGCGCCUGCUUACAUAAUGGGGAACGCCUGUAGGUGUUGAUUCAGCUUACAUAACCAAAACCUCGCCCACACGGGUGCCGUCCCUUCCGCAUCUCCAAAUCCAAGAGCCUUUCUUUCCUACUUGCUUCACUUUUUUAAAUGUGAAGUUCCAAGGUGGAGAAAACAUGAGCAACAUCGUUUUUUUUUUUUUUUCAGAGGGAGAGCUGACAUUUCUACUGCGAAUAUUUCUGGAAGACAUCACUGUCAAUGGUCAUUUUUUCCCGAGUUCAUGUUGUAGUCUUUCAUAAUGUCAGGGGAUUUCAUAAAAUGUGCCUGUUGCUGGGUACACACCAGGUUUACUUCUGUCUCUUCCCUCCACCCAUUAUAUUUAUGUGACAUGACUACUGUCCCUGAUGGCUGCUGCCCCUCCACCACGAUCUUGCAUCCCGCAGCUCCCCACACCUCCUACAGAGGGAGCCACACGGCAAAGCUGUGUGGGGGGAGGUCCAGCAAGCGACAUAAGGCCUGGGACACGAAGUCGGAGGGCGGAUGCAGCUACCUCCCCCUGCGACGAGGGAGUCCAGCCAAGAGCGUCCGCCCCAACAAGUGGUGCCAAGUCCCUCUAGAAGAGUUGAUGGAAUCAUCAUACUCAGACAUUCCUAUUAUAGUUAUUUCCUUCUAAUCAUUUUUUGGUUUCAUAUAUAUUAAUUGUGCAGAUUGGCUCUUUCAAUUCUUUAUUAAAGUCAAUGCAUGUGUUUGGCCAUAUGUGCAAUCUAUGCAAGUCAUUUGUUGCCAAUGAAGCAAGCUGAGUUGAACCAAUUACAUUCAUCCCAGAAAUUCAUCAGUAGGAAAGCUAAAUUUUAGCCUUCAAAGAGCUUUUUAUUUUUCAUAGCAUUAACAUGCUAAAUUACAGGAAAGUAGGUCUUUCAGCUGGAACAGCCCAGAUCACGAAGAAAAACAACAGGGUUUUCAGUCUUAUAGUCAGUGAACUCCAACUUUGAUAUGUAUGUUUGAUAGGUAUAUGUCCUGUAUGAUAAAGUGAUAUGUAUGUUUUUUCAGGAUGAAAACAGAUGGGCUCAACAAGCAGUUAUAUGAGAAGAAAAGAAUGGCACAGACAUCUACACCUUUUUCUGGGAUUAAAUUUUACAUCAGAACAUAUUAUUAUUAAAUGUCUUAUUAUAUUAUUAAAUGUCUAUUAUAUGUCUUAUUAAAAAAUUUUUAUUGUG
rnacentral:lncRNA from 1 species